rnacentral:rRNA from 1 species
UACGAAGGGGGCUAGCGUUGCUCGGAAUCACUGGGCGUAAAGGGUGCGUAGGCGGCCCUGUAAGUCAGUGGUGAAAUACUGCAGCUUAACUGUAGCAUUGCCAUUGAUACUGUAGGGCUUGAGUACAGAUGAGGUAGGCGGAAUUGAUGGUGUAGCGGUGAAAUGCAUAGAUACCAUCAAGAACACCGAUUGCGAAGGCAGCUUACUAAGCUGUAACUGACGCUGAGGCACGAAAGCGUGGGGAUCGAACAGG